rnacentral:rRNA from 1 species
CCUACGGGUGGCAGCAGUGGGGAAUAUUGCACAAUGGGGGAAACCCUGAUGCAGCGACGCCGCGUGAGUGAAGAAGUAUUUCGGUAUGUAAAGCUCUAUCAGCAGGGAAGAAAAUGACGGUACCUGAUUAAGAAGCCCCGGCUAACUACGUGCCAGCAGCCGCGGUAAUACGUAGGGGGCAAGCGUUAUCCGGAGUUACUGGGUGUAAAGGGAGCGUAGACGGCAGCACAAGUCUGGAGUGAAAGCCCGGGGCCCAACCCCGGGACUGCUCUGGGAACUGUCCGGCUGGAGUGCGGGAGGGGCAGGCGGAAUUCCUGGUGUAGCGGUGAAAUGCGUAGAUAUCAGGAGGAACACCGGCGGCGAAGGCGGCCUGCUGGACCGCGACUGACGUUGAGGCUCGAAAGCGUGGGGAGCGAACAGGAUUAGAUACCCUAGUAGUC